AAGCGCACACGGUGGAUGCCUAGGCAGCCAGAGGCGAUGAAAGACGUGGUAGCCUGCGAUAAGGCUCGGUGAGGUGGCAACAACCUGUGACCCGGGCAUUUCUGAAUGGGGAAACCCACUCAUCAUAAGAUGAGUAUCGUGCACUGAAUACAU
rnacentral:rRNA from 1 species